AGCGAACGCUGGCGGCAGGCCUAACACAUGCAAGUCGAACGGAUCCUUCGGGAUUAGUGGCGGACGAGUGAGUAACACGUGGGAACGUGCCCUUUGGUUCGGAACAACUCAGGGAAACUUGAGCUAAUACCGGAUGUGCCCUUCGGGGGAAAGAUUUAUCGCCAUUGGAGCGGCCCGCGUCUGAUUAGCUAGUUGGUGAGGUAAAGGCUCACCAAGGCGACGAUCAGUAGCUGGUCUGAGAGGAUGAUCAGCCACAUUGGGACUGAGACACGGCCCAAACUCCUACGGGAGGCAGCAGUGGGGAAUCUUGCGCAAUGGGCGAAAGCCUGACGCAGCCAUGCCGCGUGAAUGAUGAAGGUCUUAGGAUUGUAAAAUUCUUUCACCGGGGACGAUAAUGACGGUACCCGGAGAAGAAGCCCCGGCUAACUUCGUGCCAGCCGCCGCUUAAAAC
rnacentral:rRNA from 1 species